ensembl:lncRNA
CUUGGCGGAGGGAGACCGAGUGCUUCUGAUAAAGACGCGGGGUGUGACUCCACAACAGAGGAUGGAGCACGGCUGCCGUGGAGAUUCUGGCUCGGCCACUGUCACCUCUGGGAAUUCUCUCGGCAUGAGGGGUGUGGGGUGUGUGCUCUGGCUGGAAACAGCUGAGGGGUGGUAUGGAGAGGGGCAACCAAACACAGGCCGGGUCCAAUUCAGCAUGUCAUCAGCUGGCAAGAGAAGACCGGCCACUGCAGGUGGCUCUCAUAGUAAGGAGAGAGAGAGAAAGAGAGAGCGAGAGUGAGAGAGUGAGAGACAGAGAGAGAGAGAGUGAGAGAGUGGAAGAGUUGGGAAUAGGGAAAAGACUUUUGUGACUAAAUCAUUGUGUAGAUCAAGGGUAGCUAAAAAGCCUACUGUAUAGCAUACACACACUAACUAUACCUCCAAAGAAGUAUUUGAAAGAAGAGAGAAAAGUGUGCGAGAGAGACAGAGAGAGAGAAAUGAAUGAGAGGGAAGUGAGAAACACAGAAGGGGAUAAACGAGAGACUGAAAGCGACAGUACAAGUGGAACACACGGACGCAGAGACGGAGAGAUAGAGAAGGGGGGUGGAGAAACGAGAGGGAGAGUGAAUGACAACGAGAGGAAAAAACGAAGGGAGAACAGCCGUCCUUUCCCCGCGGGGCCAUCUCUCCUUUGAACAGCGCCGUUCCCCCCACGCGGGCAUUUCCUCCGCGGAGCACCACGCCUUCACCCUGCCAACCUGGCAACCCUCCGCGUGCUCCACGCAGCACCUCGCUAACUGGCACAGACAGCGGGCACGGCCGUGCCAGCUCCACCCGAGGCCAUGGGGGUUUCUGUCAGUGCCUGAGUGGAGAGGCUCCAGUGGUGGUUUGCCUCUGUCAGGGCUGGGGGCUGGUAGUGGCAACAGCAGUGCAAUAGUACAUCAGUUGGUGUUUGGAGACACUGCAGGAAGAGAGAGUCAGUGCAAUUUAAAUACGCCCGAGGGGAAUGUCUCUCGUCACAGCACGCAAGAUGACAUGGCGGAUAGUUGCUGUGCGGUCAAAGUUUUAUCCUAUUCUGGCACAUUUGUGUUUAUAAAAUGGACACUCAUAUUUUCCCUGUGCAUGUUUAAUGUUUUCCUUGCGAAUGUUCCCUAAAAAGAUGCCCUGCGGGGUCGAUAUACAUGAACAAUCAACAAUGUUAUACAUGACAAACAUGGACAGGAUUUUGGAUAUUUGUGAUUUGGUUUUUCUUCCACAGUCACCAGACUUCAGCUAAACGUGUAAAGCAUACCAUAAGGACUCCAAGAUGUUUUUAAAAAGGAGAAAUGGUAUAAUUUAGAAGUUUAUAGAAUUUCUUUUAAGACUUUAGGCUGUGACAUGGGCAAACAGCUUACAUAGCAAAUAUUUUGACCUUCAAUAAAAGCUAAGAAAGUUUUCUUGUGCAUAAGUAAUUUGAAAAAAAAAUUACUAUUUGAUAAAUAUUUCAAUAGAAGCAUUUUAUUUGUGAACUGUUUCAGACAUAGAUCUAUAUCCAAACACUAUGUAAAGCUCUGUGAUAAAAUGCAGUAAAGGAUUUGGCUUUGAUGGAAACGUUUCUAAAAAUAUCAUUUGGGAAUUUGCUGAUGGACUUGGUGCUAUAGCUCAAAUGCCGCUCACAGACGAUUUGUUUUCAUGAUCUUCUGUCACUGUAGAUGAGAAAUUCAUGUUUUUUUGCCCUUUGACUCUGUAUGGCAGUGUGUUUUACCUUUGGCUGCCUUGCUAUGUGUCCCUAUUCUUCAUGGUCUUCAAGACACCAGAGGUCAAAGAACCAGAUUAUACACCCAAUCCUGAAUUGAAGAAUUGUACCCCGAUUAUACAUUUUUUUUCCAUGUAUCCUUUUAAUCUCGCACUUGUAAAAUGUAAAAUGUAUUCAUUAACUUUGAAGAAAAUGCGUCUACUACAUUAAAAAUGUGUACUAAAUAUGUCACAAAACAGCUAGAAAAAGCUGGUACUGACUGUGGCUGUGGAAUCUGGCGUUGAUCCAGUGGAUCCAUAUCGCGGCCAGAUCUACUCCAGGGUUAGUUAGGAACUAAAAACGUACAGAUGUGUUAUCUAGAGGGCCUCCUCUCCUGGCAGUUCAAAAUCAAACCCCCCAAAAAUUCUUGUUUUUUUCUGCAGAAGUUACGGGAAUAAUCAACAGACAUUCUGGAAGCGCGUGGGCAUUUCAUGGAUCCGUGCAGUGCUCAGCAAACGCUAAUUGAUGGACACGCCGCGAGUCAGCCGGUCACAGUCUGCGGCUCUGGGAAACUGGACGCGCCAUGAAAGAGGGACCU